CCUGGCUGAGCUGGAGGUCAGAAGCACCAGACAGACUGAGUCUCAUUGAGAAGCUGAAAAAAAAUCAAGUUUACAAGUUUAACUUGUGUGUAUUUCUGGGUAACUGACUACUGUCCAAUAGCUGCAAUAAUGCCCAUAGUAAGUUCACUUGGCCCGCUGGACAUGUACAUCGAUAAGCAGGAGGGAGUUGCUCUGAAGGCUGAUAAUGGAAACUUCUUGAGCUGCAUAGGAACUAAUGAGUCGAUGUACCUUGAACCUGCAAAAGCAAACAAAGACCAGUGGUGCAAAUUUCAAGUCUCAAAAUGCCCAGAUGGGAAAGUCCUUCUGAAAGAUCCAAGGGGAAAAUAUCUGAGUAGAUAUG